AAUGAACGCUGGCGGCAUGCCUAACACAUGCAAGUCGAACGACAGCACAGUAAGCGCUUGCUCUUACGGGUGGCGAGUGGCGGACGGGUGAGGAAUGCAUCGGAUACCUCUUUUACUUGGGUGAUAACGUAGGAAAACUUACGCUAAUACCGCAUAUAUCCUACGGGUGAAAGCAGGGGUUCUUCUGGCUUUUCGCGAUUGUAAGAGCCGAUGGCGGCUUCGAUAGUUAGCUGGGUAAAGGCCCUGCAAGGCUACGAUGCGUAGCGGGUCUGAGAGGAUGAUUAGCCACACUGGAACGGAGACACGGUCCAGACUCCUACGGGAGGCAGCAGUGGGGAAUCUUGCGCAAUGGGCGCAAGCCUGAUCCAGCAAUACCGCGUGGGUGAAGAAGGCCUUCGGGUUGUAAAGCCCUGUUGUUGGGAAAGAAAAGCAGCAGGUUAAUACCCGGCUGUUCUGACGGUACCCAAAGAAUAAGCACCGGCUAACUUCGUG
rnacentral:rRNA from 1 species